rnacentral:tRNA from 1 species
UCGGCCGCCGGCACGGCGGUGGUGGUGGCGCUGGCGGCGCUGCUCGGUCCGGCGUUGGCCGCGUUGGUGCAGACCCGGCCGGUGGAUCC